rnacentral:tRNA from 1 species
AGCGGCGUGGCUCAGUGGAAAGAGCACGGGCUUUGGAGUCAGAGGUCAUGGGUUCAAAUCCCAGCUCAGCCA